CAUCUGUUUAAUCUUGGCAGAGUUUGAACGUUAUCUGGUAGUUUUACUCAUGCAAGUUACUAAUUAUUAUGUAAUAGUUAAUAGCGUACAGGCGAGUAUAAAUAAGUAUAUACCAAUAAUUUAUAUUAUUGAUUAGCUUAUGUUUUAGCAGGUAGUUGGUAUAUGGUAAAAGCAUACCAAGCCUAUGACGAAUAAGAAUUAGCGAAAGCUUAGUUUCUCGCAAUUGGUUUGAGAAUAACCGAUCACAUCUAAAUUACUAGAUAUGCUGCAGAGGAGGAUCUUGGGCAAUGCUCGAAAGAGUGACCCAGCUAACCAGAACUCUUUUCUCUUGUGGUUAAAUGUUUACUUUUGAAUAACAAGAAUAGAGUAUAGUAAGGGAGGAUAAUGACGUUACCUUACCAUAAGUCCAAUCUAAGUUUCGUGCCAGCCGACGCGGUUAAACGAACUGGGCUAACGUUAAAUAGAAUUAAUAGGUAUUAAGGAUUCGUAGGUUGUAUUUAUCCACAUUGUGGAUGUACUAGAAUUGAAUAGAGGAUAAUGGAAUGCUAAGAGAAGGGAUGAUAUCCACUGAUAUUUAGUAGAACGCUAAAGGCGAAGGCAAUUAUCCAGUUACCAAUUGACACUGAGGAAUGAAAGUCUGGGGAGCAAAACGAAUUAGAUACUCGUGUAGUCCAGACCGUAAACUAUUUACACUUUAUAUUUAGAUAAUGUUAUAAUGUUAAAUAAUAAGCAAACUGCUGUAUGUGUAACACCUUGUGAGUACUGUUUCAGGACAGAAAGCAAAAAGAUUAGACCAUCUUAAAGACCCGGAGUGGAGCAUGUUGUUUAAUACGAUAAUCCGCGUAAAACCUUACCUCUCCUUGUAUAGCUUAAUUUUAAGACAAGUAUUUGUAAUUAAAUUAAGUUACAGGUGUUGCAUGGCUGUCGGCAGUUCGUGUCGUGAGAUGUUAGGUUGAGUCCGCUAACGAACGCAAUCCCUAUCUCUAAUUAAUUAUUUAGAGAUAUAUUUUUACAAUAAAUAUUUUGGGAAUACGAUAAGUCUUCAUGACCCUUAUGGAGCAAGGGCUACAGACGUGCUACUUGAAUCUAUCAAUACGAAGCAAUUUUCUAAAAAAUUAAAGAUAAUAAAGCAAAUCGUUAACAAAGAUGAUAUUAGGAUCGUAAUCUGAAAUUCGAUUACGUGAAUCAGGAAUUCCGAGUAAUCAUUGAUAAGUAUGCAAUGGUGAACUAUUAUAUUUAAGAGAUACUAAUCGUCUAUCACAUGGGGGCCAUUCUGCAAUCAAGAACAUUUAUAAAUAUAAUUAGCCUUAUGGCAUUAUAAAUGGUAUGAUGAGGAGUUUCUCUCGUGAAGUUAUAGCAAAGUAGCCGUAAGGGAACUUGUGGCUG
rnacentral:rRNA from 2 species